CCGAGUCUUAACCGGGCGUUAAGUUGCAGGGUAUAGACCCGAAACCCGGUGAUCUAGCCAUGGGCAGGUUGAAGGUUGGGUAACACUAACUGGAGGACCGAACCGACUAAUGUUGAAAAAUUAGCGGAUGACCUGUGGCUGGGGGUGAAAGGCCAAUCAAACCGGGAGAUAGCUGGUUCUCCCCGAAAGCUAUUUAGGUAGCGCCUCGUGAACUCAUCUUCGGGGGUAGAGCACUGUUUCGGCUAGGGGGUCAUCCCGACUUACCAACCCGAUGCAAACUGCGAAUACCGGAGAAUGUUAUCACGGGAGACACACGGCGGGUGCUAACGUCCGUCGUGAAGAGGGAAACAACCCAGACCGCCAGCUAAGGUCCCAAAGUCAUGGUUAAGUGGGAAACGAUGUGGGAAGGCCCAGACAGCCAGGAUGUUGGCUUAGAAGCAGCCAUCAUUUAAAGAAAGCGUAAUAGCUCACUGGUCGAGUCGGCCUGCGCGGAAGAUGUAACGGGGCUAAACCAUGCACCGAAGCUGCGGCAGCGACGCUUAUGCGUUGUUGGGUAGGGGAGCGUUCUGUAAGCCGUUGAAGGUGGCCUGUGAGGGUUGCUGGAGGUAUCAGAAGUGCGAAUGCUGACAUAAGUAACGAUAAAGCGGGUGAAAAGCCCGCUCGCCGGAAGACCAAGGGUUCCUGUCCAACGUUAAUCGGGGCAGGGUGAGUCGACCCCUAAGGCGAGGCCGAAAGGCGUAGUCGAUGGGAAACAGGUUAAUAUUCCUGUACUCGGUGUUACUGCGAAGGGGGGACGGAGAAGGCUAUGUUGGCCGGGCGACGGUUGUCCCGGUUUAAGCAUGUAGGCGGGUGUUCCAGGUAAAUCCGGAACGCUGUUAACGCUGAGGUGUGAUGACGAGGCACUACGGUGCUGAAGCAACAAAUGCCCUGCUUCCAGGAAAAGCCUCUAAGCAUCAGGUAACAUCAAAUCGUACCCCAAACCGACACAGGUGGUCAGGUAGAGAAUACCAAGGCGCUUGAGAGAACUCGGGUGAAGGAACUAGGCAAAAUGGUGCCGUAACUUCGGGAGAAGGCACGCUGAUGGUAGGUGAAGUGAUUUACUCAUGGAGCUGAAAUCAGUCGAAGAUACCAGCUGGCUGCAACUGUUUAUUAAAAACACAGCACUGUGCAAACACGAAAGUGGACGUAUACGGUGUGACGCCUGCCCGGUGCCGGAAGGUUAAUUGAUGGGGUUAUCCUCGCGGAGAAGCUC
rnacentral:rRNA from 1 species